GGGAACUCUGUACCAUGCUGGCGACCAGGUCUGCGGCUAAAUUGAAGUCGCCCUAUUUUCAUCCUAGGUGUGCGGUAGCUACAGUAGUACAUGCGCAAAACCCAAGUCGUUAACUGGACUUUAAAUUGAGGAUCUGGCCAUAAAACUAUUAACUGCUAAUCAAGUGGAAGACCACACACACACAUAAAUAAUACAGUAUUAUAACUGUAGCAUACCGUCGACUACACGUGACUGUGGAGAGCUUUAACUGUAUCCACCCGGGAGCCAGAGACCAAUCAAUGACGUGUUUCCGAAGCGUCGAUUUACCGACGUGUUUACAGACGGAAGAAGGAAAAACAACUUUAUAUCGGAGUUGUCUCGAGAUGGCUAUGCAUUUUCAUGGCAUAAGGCUAGUAAUCAUAUCAUUUCUCCAUUGAAUACAGACGGUCGACGUAAACAACCCUCGUCGAAUAUUCAAUGCUGGAUUACAAUAAUGAGAUGCAUCCACCAAUCCAAAGAAAGGAAAGGCGGAAGUUAGGCAGCCCGGUGAGUCGCUUUGUGGACAACGACUCCCAUCGUUAGGUCCGGAGAGACAUAUAUAAACCUGUCAGUAUAGCCAUAAUCUUUGAUAAUAAAAGUAAAUGAACAAAGAAGUAGACCAGACCCAGCUGCUAUUGCAUUUGGUGUCUAUAAGAGACAUCUCGUUAAGUAGACCGGAACUGACCUUUUUUGUUGUUGUUGUAAACGGCGAGUGAACCAUCUUAAUUUAUCCACCAUCUUUGGUGUGUUCAGGAGGAAGUGGAACAUGUAAACACACAACAAUGUCAGCCGUAGACCUAGUGCUCUGCAGCCAGACCUUACUUCUGCACAGUUAUCAAGCUAUAUCAGACCCAUAUCCAUCCAUACAGAACACUUGUCGGCUCUGCGGUCAAAAUCUGCUCAUCAAGGGGACAUUACAGGCAACACGAAGAAUAUUUGACAAGCCUAAAGCCUCAAAGGAAAAAAGGUUAUGUGAUAGAUUCCUUGCCACCGGUUUAGUGCUAACUGAAGCACCAGGGGUGAAAUCGGGCAGAAUUUGUGCAAAGUGUUAUAGACUAUUUCUCAGGAUAGAGGAAUCUGUAAGCGUUUUAAAGAAAUGGCAAUCGGAGCAUCAGACACCGGGGACGAGCAAGAAGAGGAAGCGUGAACGGGAACCGAGUCCAUCUGAAACAGACAAGGGAGCCAAGAAGACAUCUGAACGGGAACCGAGUCCAUCUGGAACAGACAAGGGAGCCAAGAAGACAUCUGAACGGGAACCGAGUCCAUCUGGAACAGACAAGGGAACCAAGAAGACAUCUGAACGGGAACCGAGUCCAUCUGAGACAGACCGGGCUGCCAAGAAGACAUGUCCUCCCUAUAAAAAGGUUCCCCCGAGGAGCAGUCUUGUCGAGGUUGUCAUAACAUACCCUAACCAAUUGGAUCCAAAGCUGAAAAAGAGGGUUGAGAAGGUUUCAUCCGAAUUUUCCGGAAUGGUUGAAAACUUGGCAAAAGGCAAAUUGACGACAUUUGUCAGGUUAGCCUUGACGAAUGAAACCAUGUGUCAAGAAAUCAGAAAGCAGAUGACACAGAAAAUAGAAGCAGAGGUCAAGGCAUAUGCAAGACCCUUAAAUUACCUGACUUGUGCUGAACCUUGCAUCUUGAGUAGUACCUCGUUGGAGAAUAUGAAGUGUUUUUCAUACAAAGCGUUGGAUGAUGAGUUGUCCAGGAAGACACCAUGGCUUUAUACCACCAUCAAUACUGCAACAGGUGGAUCCACCAUCCAUAACUGUGUAGCCGCCUCUGUGGCCCUGAGAGGUAGAAACCCCAGGCUUUCUGCACUGGCCUAUGUCAUCAACUCCACACUGACCCAAGGAGGGGUUAAGCCCAUUUUCAAAAGACUCUCUAAGAUGGGCAUAACAACCACACACAGCAAUGUCCUAAAUAAGCAGAAAGAGAUGAAGGCAGCUGGGUACAACAUCAACAUCAAAUGCUGGAGGGAGGACUGUGAGCUGUUUUUCCAACAUAGUAUCAACGGUGAAGUCUGCCCACGACCACCUCCUACUGCUAAACCGACAGAGGAGACCGGAAGAGAGGAAGAAGAGGAGGAGGACAAGGGUCCAGUGGAGGAUGAGUUUGAAAUAGAGCUGGACUGGGGUCCACUGGAGGAAGAGGGUGAAGGAGAUGAGGAAGAGUGGAGUCCACUGUCAGAAGAGACAGAAAGAGAGGAGGACAGAGGAUCUACAGUGGAGGAAGAGAGAGGAGAGGAGAAAGCCCGGGGUUCCCUGCUAGGAGAGACAGAAAGAGAGGAAGAGGGACAAACAUUAUCAGCACUAGAAGGAAAUGACAGACAGGAAGAGGAUUCUGAUUCAACAGUGGAUUCAGAGACUGAAUACUUUGGAUUAAACCUCACCUGUGAGAGUGAUUAGAGAAGUAGCCUAACAAAGAGUCUGUAGAUUACAGAUCUAGACCUGGGCUACAUCUCUGAACAACAAGGGACUAAUCAUAGAAUACAUCCCAAAUGGCACCCUAUUCCCUUUAUAGUGCACUACUUUUGACCAGGGCCAUUUGGGACAGAAUCAUACAGUGAAAUUACUCAUGUUGAGGGGGGUCAGGAUGUGAGGUCUACUGUUCCUGGUGUGUUGAGGGGGUCAGGAUGUGAGGUCUACUGUUCCUGGUGUAUUGAGGGGUCAGGAUGUGAGGUCUACUGUUCCUGGUGUAUUGAGGGGGUCAGGAUGUGAGGUCUACUGUUCCUGGUGUAUUGAGGGGGUCAGGAUGUGAGGUCUACUGUUCCUGGUGUGUUGAGGGGGUCAGGAUGUGAGGUCUACUGUUCCUGGUGUGUUGAGGGGUCAGGAUGUGAGGUCUACUGUUCCUGGUGUAUUGAGGGGUCAGGAUGUGAGGUCUACUGUUCCUGGUGUGUUGAGGGGGUCAGGAUGUGAGGUCUACUGUUCCUGGUGUAUUGAGGGGUCAGGAUGUGAGGUCUACUGUUCCUGGUGUGUUGAGGGGGUCAGGAUGUGAGGUCUACUGUUCCUGGUGUAUUGAGGGGUCAGGAUGUGAGGUCUACUGUUCCUGGUGUGUUGAGGGGUCAGGAUGUGAGGUCUACUGUUCCUGGUGUAUUGAGGGGUCAGGAUGUGAGGUCUACUGUUCCUGGUGUAUUGAGGGGUCAGGAUGUGAGGUCUACUGUUCCUGGUGUGUUGAGGGGGUCAGGAUGUGAGGUCUACUGUUCCUGGUGUGUUGAGGGGUCAGGAUGUGAGGUCUACUGUUCCUGGUGUAUUGAGGGGUCAGGAUGUGAGGUCUACUGUUCCUGGUGUGUUGAGGGGGUCAGGAUGUGAGGUCUACUGUUCCUGGUGUGUUGAGGGGUCAGGAUGUGAGGUCUACUGUUCCUGGUGUAUUGAGGGGGUCAGGAUGUGAGGUCUACUGUUCCUGGUGUGUUGAGGGGGUCAGGAUGUGAGGUCUACUGUUCCUGGUGUGUUGAGGGGGUCAGGAUGUGAGGUCUACUGUUCCUGGUGUGUUGAGGGGGUCAGGAUGUGAGGUCUACUGUUCCUGGUGUAUUGAGGGGGUCAGGAUGUGAGGUCUACUGUUCCUGGUGUAUUGAGGGGUCAGGAUGUGAGGUCUACUGUUCCUGGUGUGUUGAGGGGUCAGGAUGUGAGGUCUACUGUUCCUGGUGUGUUGAGGGGUCAGGAUGUGAGCUCUACUGUUCCUGGUGUGUUGAGGGGGUCAGGAUGUGAGGUCUACUGUUCCUGGUGUGUUGAGGGGGUCAGGAUGUGAGGUCUACUGUUCCUGGUGUGUAUUGAGGGGUCAGGAUGUGAGGUCUACUGUUCCUGGUGUAUUGAGGGGUCAGGAUGUGAGGUCUACUGUUCCUGGUGUAUUGAGGGGGUCAGGAUGUGAGGUCUACUGUUCCUGGUGUGUUGAGGGGGUCAGGAUGUGAGGUCUACUGUUCCUGGUGUAUUGAGGGGUCAGGAUGUGAGGUCUACUGUUCCUGGUGUGUUGAGGGGGUCAGGAUGUGAGGUCUACUGUUCCUGGUGUAUUGAGGGGUCAGGAUGUGAGGUCUACUGUUCCUGGUGUAUUGAGGGGUCAGGAUGUGAGGUCUACUGUUCCUGGUGUAUUGAGGGGUCAGGAUGUGAGGUCUACUGUUCCUGGUGUGUUGAGGGGGUCAGGAUGUGAGUACAGUGUGUGUUGAGGGGGUCAGGAUGUGAGUACAGUAUAUUGAGGGGUCAGGAUGUGAGUACAGUGUGUUGAGGGGGUCAGGAUGUGAGUACAGUAUAUUGAGGGGUCAGGAUGUGAGUACAGUGUGUAUUGAGGGGUCAGGAUGUGAGUACAGUGUGUAUUGAGGGGUCAGGAUGUGAGUACAGUGUGUAUUGAGGGGUCAGGAUGUGAGUACAGUGUGUUGAGGGGGUCAGGAUGUGAGUACAGUAUAUUGAGGGGUCAGGAUGUGAGUACAGUGUGUUGAGGGGGUCAGGAUGUGAGUACAGUGUGUAUUGAGGGGUCAGGAUGUGAGUACAGUGUGUAUUGAGGGGUCAGGAUGUGAGUACAGUGUAUUGAGGGGUCAGGAUGUGAGUACAGUGUGUAUUGAGGGGUCAGGAUGUGAGUACAGUGUGUUUACAACGGUAUUAAACAGACCAGCUCCAUUUAGAUGUUCAAUUCAAACUUUAUUUUUUGUUAUUUGGUACUUCUCCAAAUGGCACCCUAUUCCCUAUAUAGGGUUCUGGUCAGAAGGAAUGCACUGAAUGAAUAGGGUGUCAUUUGUGACGAAACCCUUGAAUAGAAAAAUGAAUAAAAAAUAAACCUAUAUCCAGUAUUCCAUAGAGGGGUCUGUUCAUGUCUGGGUUAUUGUUCAGGAAACAGAGGUCUUACCUGAACCUGUCCAAUAAGAACACAGGUUUUUGUUUUGCUACAUCGUGUUCUACUGAAUAGGACCCUGUUACCACGACACUAUCAAUGAUGUCACGGUCACAUGUUUGGCCUGUAGCCCUCAGGGACAGGUCUGUGUUCUUGUGGCUGGGACAGAUGGCGUCUCCAGGUUAGGGUAUGGUAAGGUGCCUGGGAACCACAAACAUCCACUUUGUUAUGUCCAUGUUGUUAUAAUUAUAUUUAAUUUGGGAUUUGUUCUCAAUUAAUUAUCUGGGUAAAUAAAGGUUAGACGAACACAAGAUUUGACCUGUCUUUAUCAUGAUGGACACCAGGCAGCCACCCAUACAGCCUUGUAAAUGAUGAUGGCAGACAUUUUGUUUUCCAAAACUCACCAAAUGUCUGCAUCUCCCACAGCACGAUGCCAAAUGCCCACACGUCCCCCUUGAAGCUGUAAUAGUUGGUUUUCUGACCGGCCAGGUCACAGUGCACCCACCACCUGUAAGUACAGGUCAGAGAUCAGGACUAAUAAAUGUUCUGUAGCUGUGUGUAUGGGUUACUGUCUGUAAGAAAUGAUCGUAGGUCACAGUGCACCACCUGGAACACAGACCCCAGAUCAUUUACUGUCUGUCUAAUGUCAGGUCCCAGACCAGUAAUGCAGGUGGCAGUUGGUGUCAUAAGGAAUGAGUGGGAGGAGGAGGAAACUGGCUUCCAUUUUGGAUCGGAGGUGUUCCAUGGCCAGUGUGAUGUGAUAAGAGGUGAUGGUGAGCAGGCUCUGUAGCUCAGGGUCAGGGGUCAUCUCGUCUCUGUGGGUCUGAAGGAAGCGCCAACACACAGGACUCUGGGAGAACUACACACAGGACUCUGGGAGAUCGACACACAGGACUCUGGGAGAACGACACACAGGGCUCUGGGAGAUCGACACACAGGACUCUGGGAGAACGACACACAGGACUCUGGGAGAACGACACACAGGACUCUGGGAGAUCGACACACAGGACUCUGGGAGAUCAACACACAGGACUCUGGGAGAUCAACACACAGGACUCUGGGAGAUCACCACAUAACACAGAAUUCAUGUUGUUGUAGUAAAUAUGUUAUAGAUGUGCCACUCGUUUCUAUUCCUUAUGGAGACUAAUAUAAAUAAUGCCGACUCCCAAAGUGGUAGAUUAUCACACAGUAUUUUUUUCUUAUUUUGGUCAUGGGAGGAUGGUCAGUUUCUCAUUUGGGUCUCAGGCUGAAAAAGUUUAAGAACCCCAAAUGUAGGGAAUAGGCUGCCAUUUGAGAUACAAACUGUGUGACCUUACCCCCACUAAAGCAGUGUCUCGUUGCCCCCUCAGUCUCAAUGGACAUUUCAUCUCUGGUCAUUAUGGGUAUAAGAUUAUCAAGGAGUGGACUGGUGGUAGCCUAGCCUAGCGUUCCCUCUUUGAUGAGCUGGUGGUAGCCUAGCCUAGUGUUCCCUCUGAUCUGGUGGUAGCGUAGCCUAGCGUUCCCUCUGUGGUGUUCCCUCUUUGAUGAGCUGGUGGUAGCGUAGCCUAGCGUUCCCUCUUUGGUGGUCUGGUGGUAGCCUAGCCUAGUGUUCCCUCUUUGGUGAUCUGGUGGUAGCCUAGCCUAGUGUUCCCUCUUUGGUGAUCUGGUGGUAGCGUAGCCUAGCGUUCCCUCUUUGGUGAUCUGGUGGUAGCGUAGCCUAGCGUUCCCUCUUUGGUGAUCUGGUGGUAGCCUAGCCUAGCGUUCCCUCUUUGGUGAUCUGGUGGUAGCGUAGCCUAG
rnacentral:lncRNA from 1 species